rnacentral:lncRNA from 1 species
UAAUAUUAUAUUUGAAUUAGUAUUUUGAAAUUUUGGAUGUAAUGUAAUAUGUUUUGAAAUAUGAUAAAAGAAAAUAAUUGUUUCGGAUUUGGGUUCGGGUUCGGGCCCGUUUUAGAUUUUUGCUUGGGUUAUAUAGAUUUUUUUUUUUUUUUUUUGAGAGAGAAAGAUAGUAUGUUACUCGUUUCGUUUAUUUCUUUUCAAAUAAACUUAGCUGGAAAUAUGAAUCAACUAGGAUUCAAACUUAGGACCUCGAGUACCGACCACCAAACCUUUUGCCACUUUCACUAAGGGCAUGUUUGGCUGUCCAAAGUGAUCGAAGUGAAAAAAGUCACUUUUCAAAAAGUAACUUUUAUAAAAGUCACUUUUGAGUUUAAGUGUUUGGUUUCAAAAAAGUGAAAGAAAAAAAAUACAGUUUUUAUGACUUCUAUUGUUUGGUUCUAUAUAAGAAAAUGAAAAAAGAAAAUAAUUUUUUUUAGAUGCGUAGUUUUUUUUUCUUUUUUUUUUU